UACGAAGGGGCUAGCGUUGCUCGGAAUCACUGGGCGUAAAGCGCACGUAGGCGGAUUGUUAAGUCAGGGGUGAAAUCCUGGAGCUCAACUCCAGAACUGCCUUGAUACUGGCGAUCUUGAGUCCGGGAGAGGUGAGUGGAACUGCGAGUGUAGAGGUGAAAUUCGUAGAUAUUCGCAAGAACACCAGUGGCGAAGGCGGCUCACUGGCCCGGUACUGACGCUGAGGUGCGGAAAGCGUGGGGAGCAAACAGGG
rnacentral:rRNA from 1 species